AAGGAAGAGCCGGAAGCUGGACGCCCCUCUGGGAAGCAGCAGUAAAGUCUUGCUCUGAUGUGCUGGCUGAGGAAGGAUGCCACUUGCAGUUCUGAGGGGCAUGUGUGCAGGAACCUUGUCCCUGAAACUACUUGUUCCAAGCCUCCUUCUAUCCAUCCUGAAGGUAAAUGAAAGCAUCAGCAAAGAUAAAAUGAGGAGAAAGCAGAAAUAAAACUUCCAGCUCUACUUCUAAAGGUUGGGGAAAAUGUCAUGCACAUAAGGCCUCCACUGGUUUUUGAAUCAGAGGACAAAACUGGGAUUUUUUUGGUCUAAUAAUCUAAUCUUCUGUACGAAGACCCCAUUAAAACUAUUCUGAAGGAUCACACUUGAGCCACAUUUUCAUUGGUAACUUCAUUCUGUCUACCACUCCAACUAACUAGAAAAGCAGUUCUGAAAGGACCUUUAAGCACAACCUCUAUUUUCUGC
rnacentral:lncRNA from 1 species